rnacentral:rRNA from 1 species
UACGGGGGGGGCAAGCGUUGUUCGGAAUUACUGGGCGUAAAGGGCUCGUAGGUGGCCAACUAAGUCAGACGUGAAAUCCCUCGGCUUAACCGGGGAACUGCGUCUGAUACUGGAUGGCUUGAGUUCGGGAGAGGGAUGCGGAAUUCCAGGUGUAGCGGUGAAAUGCGUAGAUAUCUGGAGGAACACCGGUGGCGAAGGCGGCCAUCUGGACGGAUACUGACGCUGAGACGCGAAAGCGUGGGUAGCAAACAGG